rnacentral:rRNA from 1 species
GAUGAACGCUAGCGGCAGGCUUAACACAUGCAAGUCGAGGGGCAGCGGGGGGCGCGCUUGCGCGUCCCGCCGGCGACCGGCGCACGGGUGAGUAACACGUAUGCAACCUGCCCCCGCCAGGGGUACAACCCUCCGAAAGGGGGGCUGAUACCGCGUACAUCCCCCGGGGGCAUCCCCGGGGGAGGAAAGCCCUACGGGGCGGGCGGGGAUGGGCAUGCGGCGCAUUAGGAAGACGGCGGUGUGACGGACCACCGUUCCGACGAUGCGUAGGGGUUCUGAGAGGAAGGCCCGCCACACUGGUACUGAGACACGGACCAG